UACGAAGGGGACUAGCGUUGUUCGGAAUUAUUGGGCGUAAAGAGCUCGUAGGCGGCUUGUCACGUCUGCUGUGAAAACUCGGGGCUCAACCCCGAGCCUGCAGUGGAUACGGGCUAGCUAGAGUGCGGUAGGGGAGACUGGAAUUCCUGGUGUAGCGGUGAAAUGCGCAGAUAUCAGGAGGAACACCGGUGGCGAAGGCGGGUCUCUGGACCGAUACUGACGCUGAGGAGCGAAAGCGUGGGGAGCGAACAGG
rnacentral:rRNA from 1 species